rnacentral:lncRNA from 1 species
UCUGCUUUAUAUGAAAAAUGAUAGAUUCAGAUGAACACGAUCAAAUACAUGGCCAUGGUGCAUCUGCGACUGAUAUUAGGGGGUGAUGCGAGACAUGAAUUCAAUUCUUCUCUGGAACCUUUAAAUUUAUAUUUGAAACUUCAAUAGAUGAAACUUGAAGUAGAUAAAGGCAAGUUAUUCUAUUUAAUUAGCAAGUUUAAAUAUCAAAUAUUUGCAACCCAUUGGAAACAUGUAUAUAUCCAACAAGUCCUACCACAUUUUUAUCUUUUUUAGGAUCUUGCUUUUAAGAUGGAUUUUUAAAUAAGCGUUGAAUAUGAAAUUUAAUUAAUAAUUUUCAAUUGGCGGUGACAGGAAAUUAAACAAUUAGCAGGCUGGCAUAUUAUAUAUAGAAUCACUUGUUAAAGACUUGUCAUUGAGUAGGUGAGCAUUUGAAAACACUUCAUUCCCUAAAUCUCAGUCAUGCCAAAGAACAGUGCCAUAGCUGUUACGAUGAUUAUUGCCUUUUGCCUCUGCCAUAUCGACUCAACAUCAAGUUCUACCCUGCUAUGGGAAUCAAGGUUAUCAUCUUCUGACUCGCAACAACUGAUGAAAAAUUAUGCAGUAAAACCUAGAAAGUUGAUGGGUGCCCCUUCGUGUCAAUGCCUUAAUAUGGUUUGCCAAUGUUCUUGUCCUUGUCCGGACUGUUGUUGAUAUACCUCUUAUAUAUGGCCAGAGAUCGUGCUAAAUAACUAUAUAUUUUCUAUGUAAUUCUGGUGGUCUCUUCUUUCUAUCAUCAAUCAUGCAUUAGUAAAACAAAAGUUGCUUAGCUUCCAUCGAACCAUAUCUAUACACAUUUAAUUUUGCCCAAAAGAAAAGGAAAGCGGGUAUCUUGGUGAGUAAAUUCUUUCCCUUUUCUGUAUCAACUAAUAAUUGAGAGUGAAUUAAGGAAGUAAAUGGACCUAUAGCAACAGCUGAAAUCUAUGAUCUUGCUACUCAAGGAGUAAUUAAGAUGAAUUUUACAACUUAAUCUGAAUUUUCAGAUUCCACAGGCUUAUACCUUUUGAAAUAGAGAAUAAAUAUAAGGGAUAUAUUAUUGGAAAAUAAAUACUCCUUUUCAUCUCUUUGACGUGUUCAAGGAGUUUAAGUGGAUAAAAAUUAAUAAAUUAACUCCCGCAAGAAGCCACACACCUAGAAAGUGACUAAAUAGUCAUGAUUCUAGGUGGCCACCUAUGAGUUAAGUUAAGUCUUUCCAAAACUUGUAAAACUUUAUCCAAUUCGUAUUUUCAAUUUAUGUCCUUGGCUUCAAACCAAGAAACAGAACCAUUUCGUUCAAAUUCCAAAGGUAAGAAUUGACACACCAUCUUUCCAAUUUCAAUUAAUCAAACAACAUUUUGCAUUCUUUGGUUUUAAAAAACCAAAAACGUGAAGAUGCGGAAUCAUUUCGUCCAAAGAUUCAAAUCCAUAAGCAAGGUUUCGUUCAAAUUCAGAAGCUGAAGCUUCAUCCUCUCGUUCCAACGUGUUUCACGGAAGCCGAAGCUUCACUUCAAUCAAAUAAUUCAAGGAACAGAUAUAUUAAGGCCCUCCCUUCUUUCUUUUGGCAUGAUCCAAAUUAUACUGAAGAAACGAGCAAAUACACAGUUUCCAUAAAUUACUCUAUUCAUAGAAAUAGUAAGGGUGUAUAUAUUCUUGAUUCCCCAUGAAAAAUAUUAUUAUCUUCUGUUCAUGGGUCUCAGAAUAAUACAUAGUUCAAAAAGUUUAUCCGGAAGGAAUAUUGAGAUUAUUACGUAUUUUUCAUGCAUUUCACUCAUUUAUACAUGUGCAUUGACCCAUGACCAGAUGACGUUAUAUACGCAUAUAUAUGUAUAUUAUAUUUAUAUGGGAUACGAGAAAAAGGUUACGGCGUUAUAUACGUACCACCACCUAAUCAGCUGGUGUAUGAUGAUGAUGUUGCCCACAACGGCUGAAAUAUGACUCAGACGGCGUUAUAUACGCGUAUAUAUGUACGUAUAUGUAUAUGGGAUAUGGGAAAAUGUUAUGACGUUAUAUACGCACCACCACCUGAUCAGCUGGUAUAUGUUGAUGAUGUGCCCACUGUGGCCGAGACGAUAUGAUGGGAUGCCCUCAGUAGCUUGAUGAUAUUAUGUACACCCAUACCUAUGCAUGACACAACAUUUAUACGCAUGUGCAUGACGUUAUAAACAUUUAAAAUUUACAAAGUUAUUCAGAUUUAAAAAUAUGUUUCUAUAUUCCAUAUUUCAUCUAUGUCUUUUACGUACAAAUUUUCAUGCCUUACAUUCUUAGUACAUUUUUUGUAUUGACGCCCUAUUUUACGGGGCCUGCAUUUCAUGCCCGCAGGUGUAGGUAGGCAAGCUGACGGUCCCCCUUCUUAGGAUCCCUGAUCAGCGAGAGUUGGCAUGCUACACUUGAUUCAGAGCUUCUUUUGAUAUUGGCACGAUACGUUUGUAUAUAUAUAUGUAUAUGUGUAUGACGCGGCUCAGUCCCAUCUUUAUACAGUUAUGUUUCUGUUAGAGGUUUAUAGACAGUAUGUCUAGUUAGGAUGUAUGCGGCCUUGUCGACUUUUAGUUAUUGGAUGCAUAGUUGUCUAUAGCAACCUUGUCGGCUCGCCCCCUGUAUUCUGCAGAUAUACGUAUAUAUGCCUUAUUGGCAGGUUUCCUUCAUGUAUGUUAUCCUCGUAAUUCAGAAGAUGUUAUACAGGUUCAUAUCCCAG